GGGCACUUGGCACAGGGGUAGCGCGCACGCUUCGCAUAAUGAGAUCUUCUGACUUCAAUGCGUGAGGUCGUGGGUUCAAAUCCCACAGUGUCCA